UACGGAGGGUGCGAGCGUUGUCCGGAAUCACUGGGCGUAAAGGGCGCGUAGGCGGCCUGAUAAGUAGGGGGUGAAAUCCUGCGGCUUAACCGCAGGGCUGCCUUCUAAACUGUCAGGCUUGAGCACAGUAGAGGCAGGUGGAAUUCCCGGUGUAGCGGUGGAAUGCGUAGAGAUCGGGAAGAACAUCAGUGGCGAAGGCGGCCUGCUGGGCUGUUGCUGACGCUGAGGCGCGACAGCGCGGGGAGCAAACAGG
rnacentral:rRNA from 1 species